AACCUCUUUGGAUCUCAAGAAAGUAGUCAUCCAUGGCGGCCACACUGAUCAGAUCCAUCGUCAGAAAUUUUAAACGGCCAGCCACCACGGCCUCAGCCACUUACUCGACAGGUGGUGGUGGUGGUUGUACUUGUACGAGCGGAAGAACCGGGAAAGUCAAAGCGGUUUCGUCUUUUCUCUCUCUUGAGCGAUAUCAAUGAGGCAAAGUAACCGUUCGUUUUUCUUCUCUAUUUCCGGCCGGCGUCGACUUCUCCGGCGUAGAAGGUUUGUUUCCGGCGCUUUCUAUUGUUUCCGGUGUAUUUUCCGGUUAUUAACCGGUGUUUGUCCUCUUACCCGAGGGUAUGAAGGUUACACUUGGGUUUUUGAUCCUGGAAUCAAUGGAGGAAUCAAACCGGUGGACAUAAUUAACAGCAGAGAUCGAACGGGGUAUGUUUCUCGAAUUGAUUUGGGAUUAAGUUCUAUCCUUUGAUUUCUGGUUAUUUGUGUACAUUUUUGGGUUGAGUACUCUUCUGAACAAAGCAACGGACUUCUUGUGACCUUAACAUUUUCCAAUGGUGAUGUUUUCCCAUUGCCAUGUUUGGAGUAUUUCAUCUUAUCGAUCGAUUGCAUGGGCUGUGGAGUAUAUGGUUUUAAAGUUAAGAUGAAGAACUUUUAUGAUGAUGGUGACAAAAUUCCUUGGGCGGAAGCUUUCUUUUUACCGGAACGAGUUCAUCGUUAUAUUCAUGGGAUUAGCUUUUGGUAUAAUCUAACACAAGUCAUGGUCGUGAUGGGAAGGAUAACGGCGACUAGUGGUGAUGGUGUUGUUCUCUUUUUUCUUUGGUCGAGAAAUUCUGCUUCUAUGACAAGGAAAAUUGUGGCAACUAACCGACUUCAAUGCAUUUGGCGUUUCGAGCAUGUUAUAUUGAGUUUUCAAAGACAAGAAUCAGAAUCACUUCAAGCAACAUUUCAAAUUUUUUAUUUAACAAAAGUAAUUGUAAAAAGUAUUUUGGAGUUUCAUCUAUAAGAUGGUAGUCAAUUACCAGUAUGGGAAGAGGGGACGUAACAGAUUUUUUCUGUUAGCUUGUAAGGCUUUCGAUUGCAAAGCAGGGUCAUUUCGACUUCUUCAUCGAAAUUGUUUUUAAUUUCCUUUAUUUGUGUCAUUGGUUAUAUAUGAGUGGUUCAUGUA